rnacentral:rRNA from 1 species
UACGUAGGGGGCAAGCGUUGUCCGGAAUCAUUGGGCGUAAAGAGCGUGUAGGCGGCCCGGUAAGUCCGCUGUGAAAGUCCAGGGCUCAACCCUGGGAUGCCGGUGGAUACUGUUGGGCUCGAGUCCGGAAGAGGAGUGUGGAAUUCCUGGUGUAGCGGUGAAAUGCGCAGAUAUCAGGAGGAACACCAAUGGCGAAGGCAGCACUCUGGGACGUGACUGACGCUGAGACGCGAAAGCGUGGGGAGCAAACAGG